UAGGAGACCCAGAUAAUUGUAUACCAGCUAACCCACUUAAUACACCACCUCAUAUUAAACCAGAAUGAUAUUUCCUAUUUGCCUAUGCUAUUUUACACUCCAUUCCAAAUAUACUAGGAUGAGUCCUUGCCUU